rnacentral:lncRNA from 1 species
UGAAAAUAUUAGUAAAAAUAAGCAUAUAUCUGCAACUAAAAACAGAGAUAAUGAGGAAAGAGAUAGUUUAAUUAUAUUCAUACCUGAAAUCAAUCUCCGAUGAUGUAGGGGGUUUCAAGAAUUAGAAAAAGAAAAGAAACAGCAAAAAAAAUAAAACAAAAAACGGAAUUUAGUUACCCGAAGCUAAAAAAAUUUGAGGAAAAAAUUGAAAGGGUAUUGAGAGAGAGAUAGAGACGGCGUAUGAAUGGGAGAGCUAUAGAUUGAGGAAACACAGGAAAAGAGGCUGAGAAAAGAAAAAACAAGAGAGAAGGAAAAUAUUUGUAAAGAAGGUAAAAAAAAGUAGAUAAAAUGGGAGAAAGGAACGUUAGAAAUAUAGGAAAAAUAGGACAGAAUAUGGGAAUAAGGUGGUCAUUUACUGCCAACUGGUAAGUUUCACUUAUUGUAAUAUUUAUGAAAAAAACAAAAAGAGAAAAUUCCCAGUACAAUUUUAGAUUUUUUGAUUCCCAUUUAAGUAAUUGACAGACUUUUUUUAUUGUUGAUUUCUAAACCUGAAAACCAAAUGCCAUAAAAUAAACCAAGAAAUACCAGUACAAUAACAUAGUUCUUAAAUUAAAAGAGAAACAGAAAAGACAAUGUUGAAGCAAAGAUUCAUACCUGACGCAAGGGAAUCCAAAAAUCCCAAAAACAGAAACGGCAGAGAAAAUCACAGUAUAGUGUGUCUUUGAAUUCUUUCGGGAUAUAAGAGGUAAAAUUUGAAAUGAGACAGACAUAAUAAAGGAGAGAAUAAAAGGGGAAGAAAUGCUAGAAAAAAAAGGAAAAUGAGGAGAGAAUAAGCUAUGAAAACAUGCCCAUUAUCACAAGCCACAGAAACUAAUCAGAAAACCGAAAACCAUGACCAUUAUCAAAGCCCAAAAAAACAGGACAACUAUCCCAAGUCGCAAAAAACCAAUGGCCACAUAGGCCCUGAACAAAAAGAACACGAACCCGAUCCAAAUACCACGAAACCGUCCCAUCUAAACAAACCACCCCAAAACAGAGAUGACAAAGAACCAAAAACUCAAACAAAAGCAGACUGAAAAACAAGGAAAGAAGCAUUGAUAUGAUAAUUAAAAUAGAGAUAAAAAGGUAGAGACUAGAGACAAACUUAUUCUAAAGAUGAAAACAAAAAAUCAACAGAGAAAAAAAAAGCAUAGAUCUGAAAUUAAAAAAAUACAAGAAAAGGCAAAUACACAGUUAACGUAAAUAUUCAUACCUGAAAUGACUCUCCCAUGAAGCAGGGAAUUUCAACAUCACAACAAACAGAACCGGCAGAGAAAAACUUAUGGGCUUCUCCCUCUCACAAAAACUAUCUUCCUACUGUUGAGUGUUUGUGUCUGUGUUUUGCCUGUGGUUACACAAAGCUAUAAAAGAAUGACAGGAAAAAAAUAAAAAGAGACCAAAAGAGAAUCCACGAAGUACGAGAUGGGAGGAAGAGAGAAUAAUGAAAACAAAAAAGAAAGAGGGAAUGUAUGGAAUGAAGCAUGAUUUGAGUAUUUAAAAUUUGGGAAGGAAGUGGGAUGUGAAAAGGCUAAAGAAAACGGGCAGCGGGGC